CGGGGUGUGGCGCAGUUGGCUUAGCGCGCGCGCUUUGGGAGCGUGAGGUCGUGAGUUCGAGUCUCACCACCCCGA
rnacentral:tRNA from 1 species